rnacentral:rRNA from 1 species
GUGCCAGCAGCCGCGGUAAUACGAAAGGGGCAAGCGUUGUUCGGAUUUACUGGGCGUAAAGGGCACGCAGGCGGUCCUGCCAGUCAGGGGUGAAAGCCCGGGGCUCAACCCCGGAACUGCCUCUGAUACUGCAGGACUAGAGACUAGGAGAGGGUGGUGGAAUUCCCAGUGUAGAGGUGAAAUUCGUAGAUAUUGGGAGGAACACCAGAGGCGAAGGCGGCCACCUGGACUAGAUCUGACGCUCAGGUGCGAAAGCGUGGGGAGCAAACAGGAUUAGAAACCCGAGUAGUCCCGAAA